rnacentral:rRNA from 1 species
AUUGAACGCUGGCGGCAGGCCUAACACAUGCAAGUCGAACGAGUGGCGGACGGGUGAGUAAUGUCUGGGAAACUGCCUGCUGGAGGGGGAUAACUACUGGAAACGGUAGCUAAUACCGCAUACCAUCGGAUGUGCCCAGAUGGGAUUAGCUACGAGGUGGGGUAACGGCUCACCUAGGCGACGAUCCCUAGCUGGUCUGAGAGGAUGACCAGCCACACUGGAACUGAGACACGGUCCAGACUCCUACGGGAGGCAGCAGUGGGGAAUAUUGCAAAAUGGGCGCAAGCCUGAUGCAGCCAUGCCGCGGGUAUGAAGAAGGCCUUCGGGUUGUAAAGUACUUUCAGCGGGGAGGCGUUACCCGCAGAAGAAGCACCGGCUAACUCCGUGCCAGCAGCCGCGGUAAUUC